GACCUGGAAGCGGAGCGGUCCGCGCCCAAAGAUAAUGAUUAUGGCGCAGCAGUCUAUGGGGAGGCCCUUGUUCGACUCAAGGCCAGGUCA